rnacentral:rRNA from 1 species
GCCACUCAUUCAAAGAGUGCGUAAUAGCUCACUGGUCGAGUGAUCCUGCGCCGAAGAUUUCCGGGGCUAAAACUUACUACCGAAGCUACGGCAUCAGUAAUGAUGGGUAGGGGAGCUUCCCAUACGGGUUGAAGCAUGACCGUAAGGACAUGUGGACAGUAUGGGAGUGAGAAUGUUGGCAUGAGUAGCGAGAUGUGGGUGAGAAUCCCACAGGCCGUAAACCCAAGGUUUCCAGGGGAAGGUUCGUCCGCCCUGGGUUAGUCGGGACCUAAGCUGAGGCCGAAAGGCGUAGGUGAUGGACAACAGGUUGAUAUUCCUGUACUACCGAUAACCGUUUGAGAGAAGGGAUGACACAGUAGGAUAAGCUAAGCACACUGUUGGUUAUGUGUGCCCAAGCAUUGAGGCAGUCAAAGUAGGCAAAUCCGCUUUGAUAAUGCUGGGAUGUGAUGGGGAGCGAAAUUUAGUAGCGAA